UAACAAGGUCUCCGUAGGUGAACCUGCGGAGGGAUCAUUACAGAGUUCAUGCCCUUACGGGUAGAUCUCCCACCCUGUGUUAUUAUAACCUUUGUUGCUUUGGCGGGCCGCCAGGCUUCGGCCAGGCUACCGGCUCCGGCUGGUGAGCGCCCGCCAGAGGAAAUCAAACCCUGAGUAUUAGUGUCGUCUGAGUACUAUAUAAUAGUUAAAACUUUCAACAACGGAUCUCUUGGUUCUGGCAUCGAUGAAGAACGCAGCGAAAUGCGAUAAGUAAUGUGAAUUGCAGAAUUCAGUGAAUCAUCGAAUCUUUGAACGCACAUUGCGCCCCUUGGUAUUCCGAGGGGCAUGCCUGUUCGAGCGUCAUUACAACCCUCAAGCAUUGCUUGGUCUUGGGCUGCGCUGCUAACCCAGCGGGCCUUAAAAUCAGUGGCGGUGCCGUCGGGCUCUGAGCGUAGUAAUUCUUCUCGCUACAGGGACCCGGUGGUGACUGGCCAGCAACCCCCAAUUUUCUAUGGUUGACCUCGGAUCAGGUAGGGAUACCCGCUGAACUUAAGCAUAUCAAUAA
rnacentral:rRNA from 1 species